rnacentral:rRNA from 1 species
GGAGGGGGCAAGCGUUGUUCGGAAUUACUGGGCGUAAAGGGCGCGUAGGCGGAAGAUCAAGUCAGGGGUGAAAGGCCUGGGCUCAACCCGGGAACUGCCUUUGAAACUGGUUUUCUAGAGUACGGGAGAGGAUGGCGGAAUUCCCAGUGUAGAGGUGAAAUUCGUAGAUAUUGGGAAGAACACCGGUGGCGAAGGCGGCCAUCUGGCCCGGUACUGACGCUAAGGCGCGAAAGCGUGGGGAGCAAACAGGAUUAGAUACCCUGGUAGUCCACGCCGUAAACGAUGUGUGCUAGCCGUUGGGGCUUCAGGUCUCGGUGGCGCAGCUAACGCGUUAAGCACACCGCCUGGGAGUACGGCCGCAAGGUUA